ACAAUGUCUAUGAGCCUGCAGGAUGCGGAAGCUUCAACACCUUUCUUCUGAACCUUCUUCAGGCAGGCAGACUGCAUGUGGAGGACACAAGUUACAGAUACAGGCAAAUAGGCAUUGAGCAGAGGUUGUUAAAGGGAAUGUCUACUCCCUAAAGCAAUAUGUUUUAGCAAUGCUGUGGAAACACAACUCAGAAUUGUGUUUAAUAUGAAUGAGAAGUUGGAACCACUUGAAAAAGAGAUAGAAUUCAUGGUUGCUGCUCUACAGGAUGGCUCUCUUAUAUCUUGUGUUUCAAUUUGCUCUCUCAUGGCUGUCUGGGUUGGAUGAGAUACAGUCUGAAGCCUAAUUCAAGCUGUAGAAAGAUCCUUCCUGCGGAUCAAAGGACCUGUUAAAUGUUGGUAUAUGUGAUGUGAUG